UGACAGACUUCGGCGUAAAGGGUGGUUAAUAAACUUUUCAAACUAAAGCCAAACGACUUCAGGGUGGUUUAAUACGUAUGAAGCACGGAGGCCCAACUACGAAAGUGGCUUUAAGAUUUAUGACCCCACGAAAGCUAGGGCA
rnacentral:rRNA from 1 species